UCUCCGGCAUAUAUACAAAAGGUUAUAAACCCUUUCCUUCCACAGACCCAAUUUCUUCGUCGGUCUUUUCAGGCUUACGCGGGUGUGCCCCGUGGGUUCACUGGUUUGUUGCGAGCUUAUCCCUCCAGUGUUUUUCGUUAGCUUCUUUGAUUCGUCUUCUUCUUCAGAACUCCAUGGAUUAUCUCUUUUGUCUUUUUUUUUGUUCGUUUUGAUGUUGUUGGGUGAAAGGAAAAGCAAUAAGUGAGCGUCACUGAUGCGAUUCGUGAAUCAAAGAUAGCGUUUUCAGCCCUUUGCGUUGUCGACAGAGAAACAGUAGUUGCGAGUUGAGAUUCUGGCAUUUGCCGUACUCCCAUGCGCCUUUUGCAUUCAGAUGCUCUUUUUUAGGGGAAGAGAGGGGGUGUUAUCGGCAGUGAGUUGAUAACCUGAUUGUGCCGGAGACGUAAUGGGAUUUGUUUGGCCAGGUCCAUGGGAAAGAAAAAAGAGGUUGUGAUUUAGUGCUUAUUUCUCAAUCAGAACUUCUGAAUAAGAAGAAUCCCUAUGGGCUGUGGUCCGGCUUAUGUUUUAUCAGUUCGGUUCUCAAUAUCUUUAUUUGGAUGAUUGGAUCAUUGGAUGGCUGAUGAAAAAAAUAAAAAAAAAAAAUCAUUUUGGAUUUUUGGGUCGACAAGCCCUUCUGAAGAUUCUAUACUCGAGGAAAGAAGAUGAAGAUUUUCUUUCCAAACUCCAGAAGCGGCAUCAGAUUCCAAGUAUGCCAGUCCUUCAUGAGCAGUAAAUCAGUGAACAGCUUGAUUUAACUCCUCACAGUGAGGUUUUUCAUAAUCGGUCUGUCUUGGAUACAAAUAUACAGCUGAAUUGAUAAGUCUCUGCCUACACACAGAAACAGCGAACAGUUGGAUUAAGGGCAAAACAGCGUCGUUCCAAAUGAACUUGUUUCUAGUAAAAAGUGCUAUAGCUUGUCGGCAGCUAUCGAAACCACAUCGUGGAUUUCAAAUUCAUAAAGCACAACUCUACAUCAUCGUCCAGGAAAUAAUCGAAACCCUUUGAUUCAAAUGUUAUUCAACCAUAUAUUCCUAAUUUGUCAAAAAAAACCAUUCAUGGUCCGUUUGGUUGCAA